ACUCCUACGGGAGGCAGCAGUGGGGAAUAUUGCACAAUGGGCGCAAGCCUGAUGCAGCCAUGCCGCGUGUAUGAAGAAGGCCUUCGGGUUGUAAAGUACUUUCAGCAGUGAGGAAGGUGGGUAUGUUAAUAGCAUAUUCAUUUGACGUUAGCUGCAGAAGAAGCACCGGCUAACUCCGUGCCAGCAGCCGCGGUAAUACGGAGGGUGCGAGCGUUAAUCGGAAUUACUGGGCGUAAAGCGCAUGCAGGUGGUUUGUUAAGUCAGAUGUGAAAGCCCGGGGCUCAACCUCGGAAUUGCAUUUGAAACUGGCAAACUAGAGUACUGUAGAGGGGGGUAGAAUUUCAGGUGUAGCGGUGAAAUGCGUAGAGAUCUGAAGGAUACCGGUGCGAAGGCGGCCCCCUGGACAGAUACUGACACUCAGAUGCGAAAGCGUGGGGAGCAAACAGGAUUAGAUACGCUGGUAGGCUCUGC
rnacentral:rRNA from 1 species